rnacentral:rRNA from 1 species
UACGGAGGGGACUAGCGUUGUUCGGAAUUACUGGGCGUAAAGCGCACGUAGGCGGAUUUGUAAGUCAGGGGUGAAAUCCCGGGGCUCAACCUCGGAACUGCCUUUGAUACUGCAAAUCUCGAGUCCGGAAGAGGUGAGUGGAAUUCCUAGUGUAGAGGUGAAAAUUCGUAGAUAUUAGGAAGAACACCAGUGGCGAAGGCGGCUCACUGGUCCGGUACUGACGCUGAGGUGCGAAAGCGUGGGGAGCAACAGGAUUAAGA